rnacentral:lncRNA from 1 species
AUGAGCCAUGACAGGAACUGCCAUAGCAGCCUUUCUUAAUGCGUGAAUUCCCUUUCUCUCCCGCCUUUGCCACAACUAUCCAGAAGGGCUUAAAAUCUGUCAGCAUGUUUCCUGGGGUGCUUCUGCUUCCAGAUUUUAAAAAAAGUCAGGGAUAUGUUUUGCCGUCAACAACAAACAAAGCAACAACAUAGUGGCAGGCAGCCCGUGAACAGUCAGGGAAUCCUGGGUGUCUCCAAAGACAAAGGACACUGGAGACAUUUUGGAAUGACUCGCACAGUGAGUUUCUUUCUUACCAAUUAAAGGCCAAUGCCAAACUUAAGUUCUCCAGCAGCUAAGAGCAUCAUGGUGAAGCUUCCUAUUUAUACAUGGUAUUGAUUCUUUUGUCUUAACCAUUUUUUCAGAGUGGCCCCUAAAUGCAACUGAGCAUCACCUAUUUCUUGAAGUAGUUCACUUGCAACAAAUUUCCUAUGAUUAGCAAAAGUCUAGAAGGAAGGCGAUUGGAAGAUCAGUAUGCUCUGAAAGAAUUUUUUUUUUUCUUUUCGGAAUUCCAAACCAAACCUCUAGCCGUCAAUUUAUUCCUUAUCUCCACACACUUUUUUUAAAAAGCUAGUAUCACUUAAAAUGUUCUUAAUAUGAAUUCCUGUUGUGGCUCAGCAGCAACGAAACCAACUGGAAUCCAUGAGGACGUGGGUUCGAUCCCUGGUCUCAUUCAGUGAGUUGGGGAUCGGGCCUUGUGGUGAGCCGUGGUGUAGGGUCGGCGCAGAUGCAGCCAGAUCCCUCGUUGCUGUGGCUGUAGUGCAGAGCUACAGCUCUGACUCUACCCCUGGCCUGGGCACUUCCACAUGCUGCUGGUGUAGCCAUAAAAAAAAAAAAAAGAGUUCUUGGGAGAGUGCUAAGAAGACAUUAAUUUUAUCAAAUCUUUGACCUUUGCAUACACACCUCCUUAAUAUCCUGUGUGUGAAAUAAGUAGGUAUAAAGCGCUUUUGUUCCAUAUACUGCAGUUGUUCCGGAAAAGCACUGGGGCUAUUGUUUGAGGUUCACAUGGACCGAGUUGCGUUUUUCAUGGAACACUGCUUUUACUCGAAAGAUCACUUGCCAAACUAAAGGUAAGUCACAUUUGAGGGUUUUGUUUUUGUUUUUGUUUUGCUUUUUAGGGCUGCACCCUACACCCACAGCAUAUGGAGGUUCCCAGUCUAGGGGUCCAAUUGGAGCUACAGCUGCUGGCCUACACCACAGCUCAUGGCAACGCCAGAUCCUUAACCCACUGAGCGAGGCCGGGGAUCGAACCUGCGACCUCAUGGUUCCCUGUCGGAUUGUUUCCGCUGCGCCAUGGCAGGAACUCCUCAUUUACAUGUUUGGCAGGCCUUUCCUCGAAAAUGAAUGGAGACCAGUGACAGCAUUUGUUGCCAGUUAUAAAAUUUGAGGCCUUGGGCUCUUGCCGUUGUGGCUCAGUGGAUUAAGAACCUAGCUAGUAUCCACGAGGAUGUGGGUUUGAUCCCUGGCCCCACUUAAGAAUCCAGCAUCGCCACAGCUGUGGCAUAGUUUGCAGCUUCGGCUCGUAUUCGAUCCCUGGCCUGGAAUGUCCGUUUGCCAUAGGUGCAGCCAAUAAAUAAAUUGAGAAUUUACAUUUUUAUUUUAAAAUCAAUUAGUUUAUUUAUUAAGUGUUGUGAUCACCCUCAAGAAGGCAGGGUGAACCCAAGGGUCUUUGCUCUCUUGCUUUGGCUUGCAAACUGGCUCUCUUGCCUGCUGCCAAGCCAAGCCUGCAUUCUGCGCUGCUGCCUACUGGCCGGUGUGCUCUUUGAGCUGCGUUGUUCAUGCUGCGGGGGGUCCCACCCUGAGCUGCGCUGCUUUAUGCUGCUUUUGCUGAGUCCCCUCAAGCCUCUGAUAUACAUGUAAUCCACCGAAGUUGAAAGUUUUGAGAAGGGACAUUUGGGACCUGGACAAUGGGAUUGAGGCCCUCUUUCAAGUAGCCGUGCGUGGGUCACGCAUCUCUCAGCCUUUGCCAGAUGCUGCCGUGCUGGAAGUGGUCCCCUGGCCCCCUCUAGACCCGUUGGCUAUUUGGGGAGUCUCGGAGUCAGUGCCGUGAGUAGCAGUGGGCGUUUAACCAGUUGACAGACGGCAUUGCCAUCCUUACGCAGGCCGGAGCUCGCGGGAGAGCUGCCGCUUUGUACCCCAUCAUAGGAUCAGCCCUCACUGAGGACCGGCCGCAAGGAUCAGCGCAACUAGCUGGACUUCGGGCAGUCAUCCUGGCACUGGCUCCAGAUCACCGGUCAGCCCCAGGUGCACAUGUUUGUAGACGCGUGGGUCAUUCGUCGGCAGUGGUCAGCCGUCGGGUCCCGCCAAUGGCAGCAGCAGUUCCUCAACCACCAUUGCGUCCUUAUGCAUAAAAAUCGAGGAAUCUGUGGCCUCGCAGAUACUCAAAAUCUAAACCAAGGUCACCCAUAUCUCUGGACCUACUAAAGCCACAAUAUGAGGAGGCACCAAGACACUUCGCUCCUCUGCACGUCUAAAUAUUAUUGACAGCAGCCAAUGCAUUUCGCGUAGCAAAAUACGAAACACUGGGCUCUGAAGGCCUAGCCAGAACUUUCCGCUUCCCUGCCAGCCUCAGGCCACGGGCGUCAUCGAAUACCACCAGGGCUUAUGAGUCACAAGUUCACAUUCAGUUCAGUGAAACACAGCCUCUCUGUCGUCAGUCAAAUAUCAGGUGAAUUUUAAGGGGGUCUGCUCCUGAUUUUGCUCUUUGGGUGUUGGCGUAUCUCAGCCUCUCCGGCCCUCACCUGUCCCUCUUGUCCCACAGCUGAAGGUGAUCACAAAGCUUGGCACCCCCUCUCUUUGCGCCAACAAACAGUUCAGACCACCAGGAUCUGGCCCUCGUCGGGGAACCCUCACUCCGGCCCCCACCCCCAACGACCAUAAGACUCCAGUCCCCUCUUCCUGCUUUCUUUUCUUUUUUCUUUUUCUUUUUUUGCUUUUUAGGGUCACACCACGGUGUAUGGAAGGUCCCGGGCUAGGGGUCAAACUGGAGCUACAGCUGCUGGCCGACACCACAGCAACGUGGGAUCUGAGCUGCGUCUGCAACCUACACCACAGCAAGGCCAGGGAUCGAACCCGCAUCCUCAUGGAAACUAGUCAGAUUCGUUUCCGCUGCACCAUGACGGGAACGCCUCACCCUGCUUUCUUAAGCUGUUUUUGGACCUUCUUCCGAGCCUGUGCUUCUCUUCCCAGAAAGAUGUGACUAACAGAAUUCUUCAUACCCCUGUGGUGUGUCUCUUAUUUCCUUCUUCUGUAUCUGUUGCAAUGCCUUGUUCUGGUUAAAAGUGUUUGAAGAAAAUCCUCACUGAAGUGGUUAGGAAGGGGGAGUUCCUGGUGGCACGGUGAGUUAAGGACCUGGCCUGACUGACUGCAGAGACUUGGGUCACUGCUGUGGAGUGGGUUCCAUCCCUGGCCUUGGAACUUCCAUAUGCCAGGCCGUGGCCAAAACUAACAAGACAGGGGAGGAAUAUUUUGGUUUCAGACGCUUUUAUUUAAUUGUGACUAUUGUUGGAUAUCCCCCAUCCUAAGUUGCAGCGUGUAAUCUCAAACCCUGUCAGUGAACUUUCGUUCUCUGCCACAUUAAAAUCCAUCCUGCCCUUUGACUAGAUCUUCACCUCUUCAUUGUUUUUUAACAUCAUGCCUCGAUCAUUUCGGAGAAUACUGAUUAACUGAGUUAAUCAAAUCUUACAAACGUUGACACAUUUAUUAUGUAAUUAAUAUAAAAGAAAUUAGGAGUUCCCGUCGUGGCACAGUGGUUAACGAAUCCGACUAGGAGCCAUGAGGUUUCAGAUUUGGUCCCUGCCCUUGCUCAGUGGGUUAAGAUCUGACGUUGCCGUGAGCUGUGGUGUAGGUUGCAGACUGGGCUCAGAUCCAGCAUUGCUGUGGCUCUGGCGCAGGCCGGUGGCUGCAGCUCCAAUUCGACCCCUAGCCUGGGAAC